UACGUGAGGGGCGAACGUUGUUCGGUGUCACUGGGCUUAAAGGGCGCGUAGGUGGUUGCAUAAGUAACGUGUGAAAUACCUCGGCUUACCCGGGGAAUUGCAUGUUAUACUGCGUGGCUUGAGGAUCAGAGGGGAAUGGGGAACUCCAGGUGUAGCGGUGAAAUGCGCAGAUAUCUGGGGGAAGGCCGGCGGCGAAGGCGCCAUUCUGGCUGAUUCCUGACACUGAGGCGCGAAAGCGUGGGGAGCAAACAGG
rnacentral:rRNA from 1 species